GGCUUGAUGGUCUAGUAGUAUGAUACCUGCUUCGGGUGUUCCCCCUUGCAUUGCAAGGGCAUGUUCAAUUGCAGGUGGUCCCGGGUUCAAUUCCCGGUCAAGCCC